rnacentral:lncRNA from 1 species
CUGUCUAGAGUAAUAAAUCUUAUGCUAUGAGAUUUCUCCUCAAAGUCUUCUUUUAUAGCAGAAAUGGAGAACUGGAUCUGGCAAGUCACUAGAUAAUUUUCUGUCUACAACUGUGUGUGUGUGUGUGUGAGAGAGAGAGAGAGAGAGAGAGAGAGAAGGCGUGGCCACAUUCACUACCCCGGAUGGCUGACCAACAGCCAAAUACUGGCUUCAGGCCAAAUAAAUAAAUAAAAAUGAACCACCCACACUAGGACAACAAAGGCAGUUUCAGCUUCAAAACUAGACCUAAAGCCCCAUUGGAAACAGUCUAAGUAAUCAGUUCUGCCCAAUAAAAUAGAGCAAAGAACCACACAAGUGGUUGAACAAGUGAAGUCCUCCCUGCAUCAUCACAGAGAGCAAGUCUAUAGCCUCCCAAUAGCUUGUUUAAUAACACUGACAUGGGAAGGGUGGGGGUGGGGUAGGGUUCCCAUCCUAGCAGGGGGAAACGUGUAGUGAAGCCAAAACUCACAUUUAGGGGAGGCAUAGAACUGUGGGUGAAAGUGUAAGUUCCUUUUUUAAAAGUAUUAAUGUUCCUUUGGACCACAUCAGCAAGGUCGAGGAGGAGAGGAAGUCACAGCAAGGAAACACAGUGGUUUGACUUCAUCCCAUUGCUCUCCAUAGUCUCUAGCAACUUCCACAUAUUUAACUUAUGUACAGCUUUAAAGUGCUUGGCAAAUUUUUAAAAAAUGAAACAUUCAAAAGAUAGGACUAUUUGUGAUUUUCAGACGUGAUUCCUGGAACAUAAUCCUUCUGGAAGUUGAAGACUACCUGUAUAUUAGAACUGAUAUGACUUCAUGCUGGGAUAACCAUGUGCAAAACAGAACAGGAAUUGUGCAUCCAGUCAGCAGCCCUUUCCCAUCUUGUUUUGGGUGCUAUACCGCACAGCAGGUUUAGUGAGUUUCCCAGGGAGAUGCAAGGACACCCCUUCACUCCUAGUUCUUUUCCUGGUCUCUGUCCUGUUCUUGCCCUCCAACUGAAAAUGGACCCAGAGAUGGAAAGAUGCAUGUCGGGGUAUUCUGUGGUCGUUUGCUUGCUCUUCCUCUUGAAGUCUGGCUCCAGCUGGUUUCGUUGCUGGCAGAAGCCAAUAGGGAGGCAAACAGUUGAUUCCAUUGGGGGAAAAACACCUCCUCCCACCUCCAAAACUUGAACUCAAUAGGUGUGGAGGAUGGUAAGAGUGACCAAGAUGGGUUUAACUCUGCAUGUCCUCCAUUUCCAUACAUUUAUUAACAAAGCUGCAGCAAUCUCCUUUCUGUCUCAGUAGCUACUAUGGAGAAAUUAUUUUAAUGAUUGAAGUAUACCCUGUGGAAGAUUUCCCAAGUUUGUUUUGCUGCCGUGUAGAUGCCUGCAUAUGAGACUUAACAUGUGUACAUGCGCUAGCCUUGGAAGAAGACACUUUGCGUUUGCCCCUCUACCUUUUUUAAUUGUCAAGUCAGGUUUGCGGAGAAGCCGCCGCCGCCUUUUCCUCGCUGCCUCCCCCUGGGGAGGGAAAACACAUUUAGGCACAACUCGGCCUCUUCGAAAAGCCCACUGCAAACCGAAGCAUUCAUCUGGCAAUCUAGCACGAGCAAUAAAUUGGGUGGAAACAGUCAUGUGACAAAGACACAUGAGAACAGAAGCAGCAAAGCAGGCUGGGAUGUGCUGGGACUGCACAAUCAUUUGGGCCGACUAAAGUUAUUCAGACCUAACUGUUGAGUCACUUGGAUAUGUGGCUUAGUAGCCAGUUUCUCUUUGUGCUCUCUGUAAGAUUUCAGCAGUCGGUCUGCCUCAGCUGUGAGCGGAGCAGCAUGUAAUCUCAGUCAAACUGUUUGGAACCAUGUUGAUAAAUAAAUUUAUUUUAAUUCAGUAAAGAUUUUAUUCUUUAGAACUCUUUAUUAUUAAUUUACGCUGCGCGUCAGAAACCUGCAGGUGCUCUACCUGGGCCAGGUCCACGCGGCCUGUAGGCCGGUCCUUCCGAGGGCUUCUCGCCACCAGGAAGGGCGCCUGCCUGCCCUCGGCCCCUUCCCGCGUCCCGCUCGCUCCCUCGGGCUCCGCAUUCCAGGGGCAGCGCCGCUACUCCCCGCAUCCUCCGCCAACAAGAUGGAGCUUUCCUGGACGUUUCCUGUCAGCUUCGAUUCUUGCGGCAGCGGGGGGGGGGGGGGGCAAGCAAAGCAAGCGGCUUUGAUUCCGCGUUAAUCCGGAGGUGCAAAAACGGUCAUUGCGGCUCUGGAGGGCCAUGAGCUGAAUUCAGUGCCGCUGCUCAGCUGCAGCCGGGAGGAAGCGAGGCGGGCGGCGAUCCGCUUCGUCCCUCCACAGCCGGCCUCUCGCUGCUGCUGCUGCUGGCCGAGCUCCGUCGAGAGGCGGCGAAAGAGCAAGCGAGGCGGGCGAGCCACGGCGCUGCCCGCUCCGGACGCCUGGACCGGGAGCAAGCGGAGCCUUUUGCUUGCGGAAGACGCAUCCCUCGCUGCGCGUCGGCCCGCGAGCGGGAACGAGAAGCACCGCGCCCGCAGGUAAGCCUGGCCGCCGAAGGGAGGCCGGGCAGGUGGGAAAGGGCCCGGCGCGCGGCUGCAGGGGACGAAGAAGCGCCACACGCGGGGGUCUCGCGCUGGGCUCCAUCUGCUCCGGCGACCGGCGCGGUCUGGAUCCGGGCAGCGACGCGCCGGCAGGCUGCGGAGCUGGGAGGGCGGGGCGGCUCAAGCCCGGAUCCACGGUGAAGGUUUCUCCCUGGGGGCAGCCGGCUAGUCAAUGUGCGGAGGAAGUGGGAAGCUGGGGUGGGUAGGUGGAUGCGAGAGAGAGGGAGGGAGAGAGAGAGAUUUGGUGGGCAAAUAUUGCAAUUGCCUCAGGACAUGCAGAAGUGAACACUAUUGACCACAGCUAGCUGGCUGGCUGUCACAUGCUCACUGGUGGGUGUUGGCUGAGUAUUUCAGACAUUCGCAAGGAUUGUCAGUGUUCCUGUGUAAAUGUAACAUUUUGUACAUUCGUUGUAGUUGUGCGUAUGGAUGUGUACAAAUUUCUUAUAGUGACUAUACUAGCAUCUGGUGAAUUUGCUCAUAUAUGAAUGCUGAUAAUCCCAGCCACAUUUUGUGUAUAUCUGAAAACAGGUGACACUUCCCUAUUUUUCAGACGUCCCCAUGACAUGGCAAUCACACUGAGACAACAUAUAUCUUAAAUUUCCAGACAUAAAAUUUUACUGGAAUUGUCAGCAUUCACCAUUCAACAUUCACCAGAUUUCAGAGAUCUAAUUUAAUGCUGCAUGUAAAGUAGGAGAAUUAGGGCAUAUGCCAGGCUCAAUUAAGUGUUUCUAAUAAGUUAACUUUCUAAAUAAGUUAAAUGUGCUCAUGUUCUCCAACUGAAAUAAAUGCAGUGGCCCCAUGGCUAUAUUGAAUGCAUGUAAGGCAUCCCUGGCUAUAUUGAAUGCAUGUAAGGAUUUGUAAUUUCUGUAGUACAGUUGUCAACAAUAGCAGCAAAAUUUUGAAAAGAAGAUAAUUGUAGCCCUUAAUAGGAUGUAACAGCAUUCCAGACAAAGGGAAGUGCAUUAGUCUGGUCCCUUUCCAUGGUGUAUUCUUUAGCUGUUGUUCAAAUCAGUCUUGAAGAAACUUCUGCCUGCUUCAGUUUAUUUACCAGUAUUUGUCCUUGGGUGUCCUUGUACAAAGAUCCUUAGCUAGCAGUGCAAUUCUAUUUUUUGAGUUAUUACUGCAUUAAAAUCACCCAUCAGGAUAAGAGAUAGCAAAGAAUAUUGUCAUGAGUGGUGGGGAAGACGAAGUAGGCUGUAUGUGAGAUCCUUCUAACCCCUUUAGGAUUAAAAUAUAAGCCUGUCUAGCUUCCUGUGUUGAGGUGAUAGCCUGGGUGAUGAGCCAUCAAGGGAAGCAAAGCAGAGCAGGUGAGGAGAGGCUCUGUGUAAUACAGGAAAUGGGUAGGGCCCUUUCCUCCUUGGAGAUAGUUUGAAGGGCAAAGCCUGAGUUGAGAGUUUGCAGUAUUGUGACCUAGAGGAAAAGGCAGCAAGCUGGAGAAAGAGUCAGAGUAACAUUCACAGCAAUGUUUGAUUUUUGUUUAAAUUCAAGGCUGCAGCCAUGGGAGAAACAAGACCCUUUUAGGAUGUUGAUGCUCUGAAUCCCUCCAUUGCAGGCUAAGGUUGUACAUAUGUGUAAAUAUACCAUAGAUAAUAAAAACUCCACAGUCUCUGCCUCAUUUCUGAAGGAAACACGAUUCCUGAGUAAGCGCCUGGAACCCCUGAAAUCUCACACCACUCAGAGAUUGUGGUGGUGCUCUACACUGGUGUUAGCAGUGGGAUUUGUGUUUCCUGGAGGGGGGCCUGUGAGUGAGGGGUGCCAGAGUGGAGGGAGAAACAGCAAUAUUACUGGAGCAGGUCAGGUUAAUGAUCCAGCAGCAGUGAGGCCAGAUGUUUGACAAGAUGCUCCUGCAGCAAAGCCAGCAACAGAUGGAACAGCAGAACCAGUGGUUCAGUGAAAUGAAGCAAAUGCAAGCAGAGUGUGUGAGAAAACUCCUUGGAGAGAAAAGUGUGACUCCAUGCGAGGUGGGAGCCUGGCCUGAUGAGAUGCAGUUGGUAAGCUGAAGACAAUGCCUUGUAGAAGGGUGAGUUGGCUGGAGCUGCUUUGGGCUCUGACAUGUGCUCUGCCUCUGAGCUAAGACUUGUUGAAAAGGAAGCUGCUUUAGAUCAGGGCAGACCUUUUGGCUCAGUAUUGUCUUGUACUCCAGGGCGACAGGGCUCUUUCUCACCUCUAUUUGAACAUGCCAGAAAUAGACCUUUGGACCUUCUGCAGACAAAGCAUGUGCAAACCACUGAGCUGUGGCCAUGUUACACUAAGCCUUGUCUUUUGGCCGGCUCUCUCUGGAGACAGCAUUUACUUUUCCCUCACCAUCCAGAACUCCAGAUUCCCUUUGUGUCUGCUUCUUGCUCCACUGUAGCCUGUAAGAUUUGAGAGGGUAUUGUCUUGAGGCUUCGGACAAAUUGGGCUUUUUAAUAUUUUUUGCUAAUUACAUUAAGAGUAAAUGAGCUUUUAAAAAACACUAAGGAGUCUUUACAAUAUAGCAAACUGGAGCUGCCAGUCAAGCAGUGUCCCAUCUCAAUUAGACAAAUGGAAAUUAAUGUUCCAUACUUUAUUUGAAGGAACAUUUCUAACCCCUCUUACUUGAAGAAUACCCGCCUUUCAGAGCUAGGUAAAUGUUAUGAAAAGUGAGAAGAAAGCAGAUGAAAAGUAUAUGUUUUAGCUGUUUGGUGACUUUCUGGUUUCUGUUUGUUUGUUCCCACACUCUUGUUUAAAGAUUUCUUCCUUUAGCUAGAAGUGUCUAGGAUUGCCAGUUACCAAGAUUUGUAAUUAAAUGUAUGUUUCACCUUACUCCCUUAGAUGCUUAGGUUGCUUUCCUUCUUUCUGGAAAAUGCCUUUCCCCAUGCAAGUCAAGGUUAUUAAAUGACCUGCCUCCAUUCUCGGUAAAUCAUAACCGUGGCCUAUGUAAAUCCACCUCUUUUGUAAAGCCACUUAUUUAUUUUCAUUUAUUGAUUUCAGCUUUUUUAUGCCACUUAAUUGCUGAAGUUUCUAGGUAGCGUACAAAAAGAUUGCAUGAAGUUUUCUAUUAAUAAAAACAGAAAAUGUACCUGGCCUAUGUAAAUCCACCUCUUUUGUAAAGCCACUUAUUUAUUUUCAUUUAUUUAUUUAUUUCAGCUUUUUUACGCCACUUAAUUGCUGAAGUUUCUAGGUAGUAUACAAAAAGAUUGCAUGAAGUUUUCUGUUAAUAAAAACAGAAAAUGUACCAGCUGAAAUAGAAGGAUCUUCAUCGUUGCUUAUUGUUGAUUGUUUCCCCUCCCAGUGUUGGUUUGAGUUUGUAAUUUGGUUAAAAGGGAAAAAUACUGAAUAUGGUAAAAUAAUAAAAAUGUUGUUAGCUAUUCCUUUCAGCUUUCUGUCUCCAGAUUUGAUAAGCACCCCCUUUAGACCCUCUGUUCGUAUGGAAAGCGGGGAAAUAGGUAUGGUAAAAAGGAGGAUUCCCUGGAUGCAAUGCUUAGAUCCAGGAUUGAGGCAAGUACUCUUUGGUGAGAGAGCCCCAGCAUAGAUUUGAACUCACAAAAAAUGCUGCGAAGUAAAGCAUGGAAAUAUAGGCUGUUAGACCUUUAAAAUAUCUCUGUCUAAGUUUCUUCCAAAGCUCCCCUCUUUCCAUAGCAUAGAAAGAGACCCCACAUUUGGUAAGUUAGAAAUGGUUUACUUACAAAUUCUUCAAAGGGCAGAUUCAUAUGCUUUUCUAUACACCAGAAAGAAAAGACAGGCAAUGCAUCUUAGUUUCAAAAAUGGUAACAGUUUCUAAAUUAUUUGUAUAGAAACACAAAGAUGACUUGCUGAAGCCACACAGUCUAAGCUUGGAGCAUCCAGCACAGACAUCCUUACUGGUCAGGUUCACAUAGUGCAGACUGUUAGUAUUUCAUGUAUCUGAUCCUGCAGAUACGAUUGGUGUAAUUCACAUGCCUGUCUGGGAAGACUGUGGGAACGGAAGACAGCCUUAUCUCUCUUCCAUUGUCUGUACUGUUGGACUGUACUUUUGCUUUUACUUUGUUCUGUUUUCUCGCAGAGCUGAUGAGAGAGGACGCCAUGAUGCUUUGUCUGUACAUAGUGUGUACGUAAAUACGUAGAUUAGCUCUAUGGUGUCUCACACUUCUUGCUGUGUAAUGCUAGAAGAUUAGUGUUCAUAUAUGUGGGAUGUGAAACACAGAGCAGUCAAGUACAACAUCCCUAGAGUGGACAUAAAACGGGGGUGUCUGGACCAGCCAGUUGGAUUUUCCUGUUUCCUCCUAGGCUGGGACAGACUUCCUCUACAUGUGACCAGAGGUGGGCGUGACCUCACCUAUGCAGGUAACAAAAUACCUUAGCGGAGGUCGCCAUCCUUCUCUGUGACUACAUUCAUCGAAGAAGCAACAUCUGCUUAGCCUAAGAUGCUCUCUUGGCUUCCAGCCAAGAGAGGACAAAGGAGCUGUCUGCUUAUGGGAUAGUUUCCAGGUGUAUAUUACUUUUGUAACUUAAGUGUGCCUUUUGGGAUCCAUUUGUGAACAGAAUGUGUGAGUAAACUCUUUUUAUACUUUUAUAGAAGACUGUGUUGUGUCUAUAUUUUUAUGAGGGACUAAAGGGGAAAUUACCAAACGAAACUUAUUUUAGAGGCUUUAGUGAGCCUGAGCAAACGCAUCCGCUGUGCAAGUUCAAAAAGGGGAAUUUUACUCUGCUAAAUUGUAGAACUUGUUAACACAAGUUGGAAAGGAUAUAAUCAAACAAUAUAUCCUCUCCUGCAUCCCUGAACAAUCCCACAAUAUACCAUCUGGUAUAUGUCACUGGGCGCAAUGGAGAAGAAGGGAAAUGCCUUUUCCAGAGCUGCGCAUACCGGAGGACACUCAGACAGUGGGGGCUGCAGGAGCACCCCAGGGCGUUUUCCGGCGUGUUGAUCGCAAUCGACUGGUCAAUCACCGGAUGGAUUUUGGUUGAUCGCACUAUGGCCAGGCAGGCUUUGCUCCUCCCUCACAGCUGGGGCUCAGCUGUGGGAGGGAGGGAACUGCACCUCCACUUUCGCCAUCCCGUGAGCUCCAGAACGCGGGCCUCUCUCUUCGCUCUACUAAGGAAGCCACCCUCGGCUGGGCAGCCGUCACUGGGUGUUGCAUGGCCAUGCUCAUGCGGCUGGGAGAGGGUGCAGCGGUCCCCAAAGGAAAGUGGGGUGCAGGGUUGUGAGGCUGGAUAAAAGGAGAGCCCCUUUCCUUCCUCUUCCAUACAGAGCAGCCUGUGGCUUAAUCAGCUGUAGCCUCUGUUUGGGCAUUACGUGGAAGAAGGCGAUGGAAUCGAACGCAAAUCCAUGCUAAGGAAAGAAAGGGGUUUUUCCUGGUCACCAACAAUGCCUUACACCUCGCCCCUAAAGUGAAGAAGUUGAAGAAGGACAAUGGGAGAGUGUUCCAGUUUUUGAUACUGGAUAGUAAAUCACAGCCUGCUUGAAGUUGGACAUGCCUGAUAGUGGAUGAAAAAAGUUUGGUAACUCUUCCUCCAAAGGUGAGGGUCAGUGGUCUAGCUAAGCCUUGCAGGACAGUUUUCUUUUUGGUCUUAACCCCUACAUGCAUUAAUUAGAGUUAAGCUUAUUGGUUAUAUGAGGCUGAUUUAUCCCACACCCAGUGCAUAUUAUCUGUCAAGCAAAUAUUCACAAGCUACAUCUUUUUGUUGCUGUGAGUUGGCAUUAUUUUUUGGUGGUGGUGCUUUGUGUGUGUGUGUCAUGCAAAACUUAAAAACGUAAAACUU